UGGGGAAUAUUGGACAAUGGGGGAAACCCUGAUCCAGCAAUGCCGCGUGAGUGAAGAAGGCCUUAGGGUUGUAAAGCUCUUUCGCCCGCGAAGAUAAUGACGGUAGCGGGAGAAGAAGCCCCGGCUAACUCCGUGCCAGCAGCCGCGGUAAUACGGAGGGGGCUAGCGUUGUUCGGAAUUACUGGGCGUAAAGCGUACGUAGGCGGAUGCGCAAGUUGGGGGUGAAAUCCCGGGGCUUAACAUCGGAAUUGCCCUCAAAACUGCACGUCUUGAGACCGAGGGAGGUAAGGGGAAUUCCUAGUGUAGAGGUGAAAUUCGUAGAUAUUAGGAAGAACACCAGUGGCGAAGGCGCCUUACUGGCUCGGUACUGACGCUGAGGUACGAAAGCGUGGGGAGCAAACA
rnacentral:rRNA from 1 species